GUUUGGCACCGAGGGUGGAAACCGAACGGAAACACAAAGAUUAGCCUUGUAUGUUCAUUCCAACACUGGCCAGAUUUCUCCUAAUCCUGCCUGAUAAACCAAGACUUAGUUGCUCUUGAAUGGCGUUUCUUCAGGGCUGUGGGAUUGCUCGUUUUUAAGGUCCUUUCACGUCGGAAAGGAUGGUGUUUUUAACCGUCUUCUCGUUUUCACCUGGAAACCUUUUAAGGUGACGGCCAAAUUCAUGAGCCUGCAUACGAGUGAGAAUUCAGAAGGUUGUAGUCGUCCCCUGAUAGCCGGAUGAUGUGAUUUUCUCCAGAAAUUCACCAGUUCAGGAGGCCGAAGCAGAGAGGAUUGUGUGAAGUGGAAGCCAGUUUGGGAAACAACGAAACCCGGUUACCCGCCCCCGCCCAUAGACUAAUAGGGUAGAGAGAGGUGUGAGUGGUUGUUUCUUAGAAACAGAAAGACACCUAACUCAGUCUCGGAACCAGUUAGAAGAAUCCAGACCAUGCAGACUUUAAUGGAAACUAACAGGGGCUCCCACAGUCGUGCAUAAUUUGGAUAAUAUACUAUUUUAUAGCAGAAACAAAGUCCGUUAAAUGAGCAAUGACAGUACUCUUCGGCUUUUUCUGAAGAACUGGCGAUUCAACAAUCUGGGAAUUUCGUCAUAGUUUAAAAGAAGGGUGAAAAUAUCACCUGCCAUUUGCUUUGUGAUUAUUAUUAUUGUUAUUAUUUUGUACCAGGGAUUGAACUCAAGACCUUGCACUUGCCAGGCAGGUGCUUAUGCCACUGAGCUAAAUUCCUGUCCUGCUUUGUGAUUUUGAUCAAUUUACUUAACCAAAGACUCCCGCGUAUGAAAGAGAUAACAAGUUUUUGUUUGUUUGUUUGCGAAAUCUAAGAUAAUGAAAAGCAUUUACCAGUCCUUGAAUCAUAAAGUGCAAUGAACAAGUUCGUGAAAUUCUCAGGUGUGUCACAAAUGUUUGGAAAAAAAUUCAAAAUAUAUCUGUAUUUCAUGGGGUUCUUACCGAACCUUUAAAAAUCUAAUAAAAGUUUUUGUAUUGAA